rnacentral:rRNA from 1 species
AACUCGCCUACAUGAAGCUGGAGUUACUAGUAAUCGCAGAUCAGAAUGCUGCGGUGAAUGCGUUCCCGGGUCUUGUACACACCGCCCGUCACACCACGGGAGUUGGAGACGCCCGAAGCCGACUAUCUAACCUUUUGGAAGAAGUCGUCGAAGGUGGAAUCAAUAACUGGGGUGAAGUCGUAACAAGGUAGCCGUAUCGGAAGGUGCGGCUGGAUCACCUCCUUUCUAAGGA